GUUGCCGGUUCAAACUUCCCACAUGUAACCCAGGUGUCCGCCAUGACCCAAUCACCUUCCCUUUAAGUUGAUUGUCAUGUGUGCUUCCGGGUUUUGUUUUUUCUUCCCCACCUUGCUGCUACUCACUGUUGGUUGUUUGUAAAACAACCUGGAGUUUCUGAAUCGACUCAUCACUCAUUUAAUCUCUAAAACUUGAAGAUUGCGGUUGUGAUCCAUUGACAGCUGGUGAACCUUCCUGAUCUGAGCAAGUUAUCAUUGCAUCCACCUCAUCAGAUAAUCCGUUACUCGACGGUCAGGUUUUUCCCCCUUGCAUUGACUCACUUGAUGACGGAAGAUGGCGAGCUACCCACCCACCCUCUGGUGGUAGGAAAACGGAACUACACUUUCCCUACAGAAACGAACUAAACUCCGAGUAUUGAAAAGGGAACAUAAUUAUUCUCUUUUUGUUCUUGGAUCUAUUGUGGACUCUAUUACGUUUGAAGUAUCACUGAUUAUUAUUAUAAUUGUUUUUGUUGGUUUGUUUUUUUCCCCUUCUGUUUUUGGAAAUUUAUUGUUUUG